rnacentral:tRNA from 1 species
UCCCUGGUAGCUCAGAUGGUAAAGCAUCUGCCUGCAGUGCAGGAGACCUGGGUUUGAACCCUAGGUUGGGAA